GACGAACGCUGGCGGCGUGCCUAAUACAUGCAAGUCGAGCGGACAGAACAGGAGCUUGCUCUUGUUCGGUUAGCGGCGGACGGGUGAGUAACACGUGGGUAACCUGCCCGUAAGACCGGGAUAACUCCGGGACACCGGAGCUAAUCCCGGAUAACACCGAAGACCGCAUGGUCUUUGGUUGAAAGGCGGCUUCGGCUGACACUUACGGAUGGGCCCGCGGCGCAUUGGCAUGUUGGUGAGGUAACGGCUCACCAAGGCGACGAUGCGUAGCCGGCCUGCGGGGGUGACCGGCCACACUGGGACGGAGACACGGCACAUACGGCCACGGGAAGGGGCAGGAGGGAAUCGGCCGCAAGGGGCGAAAGUCUGACGGAGCGAGGCCGCGGGAGCGAAGAAGGACUUCGGGUCGUAAAGCACUGUUGUUAGGUAAGAAGAAGCGUCGUUCGAACAGGGCGGCGCGGUGACGGUACCUAACGAGAAAGCCCCGGCUAACUACGUG
rnacentral:rRNA from 1 species